UACGUAGGGUGCAAGCGUUGUCCGGAAUUAUUGGGCGUAAAGGGCUCGUAGGCGGUCCAUCGCGUCGGGAGUGAAAAGCUGGGGCUUAACCCCAGUCCUGCUUCCGAUACGGGUGGACUAGAGGUAGGUAGGGGAGAACGGAAUUCCUGGUGUAGCGGUGAAAUGCGCAGAUAUCAGGAAGAACACCUAUGGCGAAGGCAGCACUCUGGGACGGUACUGACGCUGAGACGCGAAAGCGUGGGGAGCGAACAGG
rnacentral:rRNA from 1 species